GUGGUAAUAUAUAAUUUACUUGCCCCACAUGCAUAAAAUUGUUGAAGUUUUACAAUUGUUGAAUUUAACAAUGUUUUUCUUCUCAAACAAGACUGCAUCAACAGCUGAGACCUCAGCAAAAACACAGAUUGAAGUUAUAAAGGGCUCUGGAGUGUUUUGCAAGGCAGAAGCAUGGAAAGCAGCCCGCCUUGCCACCUCUGCUACUGCCAUGGUGCGGAAUCUACUAAUGGGCACCUUUGUCCUGGAGACUUUGCUGAAAAGCAACCUAAAUGGUGGGAAGCCAACCAGAGGGGAUGGGGAGCAGCUGGUCGCCCUUGACCAAAUUAAAAAGGCAGCCAUUAUUGGUGAGUAAAUGCAUAAUGCGUUGACAAGGGAAAACAAAACUUUAAAGACUUUAUUUCACCACUUUAACCAUAGCAUACUUGUAUCAAUGUUUAUUAGGCAUCAACAGAGAAUGUAUAAGGUAGGGCACCCAUUAUUUUGACUGUAUCUGCUUAGCACCUAUAAUACCAAUUCAUCGUUUGCUCACUUCUUGAUCCUACCUUUUGUCUUCUUAAGCCACAUUUCUGGGGUAUUGCACUGUAAGGUGUGUUGUCCUCUAUUUUGUAGGACAUACAGUGUUGCAAAUAACUUCAUGGCAUGUUGUCGUCUGAAGGGUUAAUAAAAAAAUCAUAUUCACCCCUCCUUCACCCUUAAACCAUUCUGUGCUGUGUUUGUGCCUUAGUUUGUCUUUACCGGUAAUGUAUUUGCUUGAUUUUAAUGCGUAUCUUAUUUCUCUUUGAGUAAACCUAUCAUGGCAGCUCGCCAGUGGAGUGGGUCAAUGGGAGGCCAUUGUAAAGUAUUUUGGGUACGGUUGGGUGCAGAAAAAAUGCUACAAAAGUGCAGUUUAUUGACAACGAUAUAUGUUUACAUGUGUAAAGUUUCUUACAUCAGAUUAAAAAUUUGAGGGAUUAGAAACUCUGAAUCACUUUACAUGUUAACAAAUAAUCCAAAGUGCAUAUGCAUCAAGCCUUAUUCAGAAUAAUAGCAUGUGAUGUUUCCAAUCAGAAUUCAUUUUAGAUUUAGAGUCCAAUCAGAAUCUUUCAAUUGACAUGUUUACAUGACAUAUUUUUUAUCAUGGUGAGCCCUUUAUCCAAAAUAUGUGUCCAAUCGCAGCAAGCAGUAAGCACUUUGGGUUCCUGAUGAAGUGGUAUUUUAAUAUAUUUUUUUUUUUGGUCUUCUCUAGAUGCUACAUUGAAGAAGUGGCCAGCAGCCAGCCGAGGGCAGAUAGGCACAUCGAUUAAUUCAAAGCUCACAGAGCUGAGAAGAUCCUCAAGAUAAUUUCUUG